rnacentral:misc_RNA from 1 species
UUUCCGUAGGUGAACCUGCGGAAGGAUCAUUAUUGGAUUUUGAAACUUCAGGCUGCUGCUGGCUCUCCUCGGAGGGCAUGUGCACGCUUGUUGUCCUUUAUUUCUCCCACUGUGCACAAAUUGUAGACCUUUCAGUAGGCCUAUGUUGUUUUUCACAAUCUCUGAAUGUAAUAGAAUGGUUUUGAAUCUUGGGAAAUACAAUACAACUUUCAGCAACGGAUCUCUUGGCUCUC